rnacentral:rRNA from 1 species
UACGUAGGGGGCAAGCGUUGUCCGGAUUUAUUGGGCGUAAAGAACGUGUAGGCGGUUUGGUAGGUCCGCUGUGAAAACUCGAGGCUCAACCUCGAGACGCCGGUGGAAACCAUCAGACUAGAGUCCGGAAGAGGAGAGUGGAAUUCCUGGUGUAGCGGUGAAAUGCGCAGAUAUCAGGAAGAACACCCGUGGCUAAGGCGGCUCUCUAGUACGGUACUGACGCUGAGACGCGAAAGCGUGGGGAGCGAACAGG